UACGAAGGGUGCAAACGUUGCUCGGAAUUAUUGGGCGUAAAGCGCACGUAGGCGGCUUUGCAAGUCCGAUGUGAAAUCCCACGGCUCAACCUAGGAAGUGCAUUCGAUACUGUGGAGCUGGAGUCCUGGAGAGGAAGGCGGAAUUCUCGGUGUAGAGGUGAAAUUCGUAGAUAUCGAGAGGAACACCGGUGGCGAAGGCGGCCUUCUGGACAGUGACUGACGCUGAGACGCGAAAGCGUGGGGAGCAAACAGG
rnacentral:rRNA from 1 species